rnacentral:sRNA from 1 species
AAGGGACAAAUUGACAUAAAAUACAUGCUUGCAUGUAUUUUAUGUCUAUGGGUCCCGCAAAACAUGAGCAAGUAGCCAUUUUCGAAGAAAAAUGAGCGGAUUGCUCAUGUUUUUCGGAUUUUGGGAGCGCGAAGCGCGGAAAAAUCCGAAGGCAUC